rnacentral:misc_RNA from 1 species
UCUCGAUCGUUUCAUCGUCCUCCUCGUCUUCUCUUCUCGGCCUCUUACCAUGGCCGAGUCUACAUAGCCAUCUUCUUUGCUCUUCAACUAAAAAGCUUCUCUAAAAAUGCGCUCUAAGGACAGAAUUUCUUACUUCUACGACGGGGAUGUGGGUAGCGUUUACUUUGGGCCGAACCAUCCAAUGAAGCCUCACCGGCUUUGUAUGACUCACCAUCUUGUUCUCUCCUACGAGCUCCAUAAGAAGAUGGAGAUUUACCGGCCUCACAAGGCAUAUCCUGUUGAGCUUGCACAGUUCCAUUCAGCUGACUAUGUUGAAUUUUUACACCGGAUUUCCCCAGAUACUCAACACCUGUUUGCAAAUGAAUUGGCAAGAUAUAAUCUUGGAGAAGAUUGUCCUGUCUUUGAAAAUCUAUUCGAAUUUUGUCAAAUUUAUGCUGGUGGAACAAUAGAUGCUGCACGUAGAUUAAACAAUCAACUAUGUGACAUUGCUAUAAAUUGGGCUGGUGGUUUACACCAUGCCAAGAAGUGUGAGGCAUCUGGAUUUUGUUACAUCAACGACUUAGUUUUGGGAAUUUUGGAGCUUCUGAAAUAUCAUGCACGUGUUUUAUACAUUGAUAUAGACGUACAUCAUGGUGAUGGUGUUGAAGAGGCCUUUUAUUUCACUGACAGGGUGAUGACUGUGAGUUUUCACAAGUACGGGGAUUUGUUCUUUCCUGGAACUGGAGAUGUUAAGGUGAUCGUUUAAUGCUUUGUAAUUAUAUUAAUUAUUGGAAAAAGUCAUUGUGACAGACUGACAGGUGUUAAUCUGUGGUUUCUGCAGUUUAAGCUAGAACUGGUGACCUGCUUAAUUUGUGUUUAUGAUGGUAGGAUUGGAAUAGACUAUAGGAAGAAGUCAUUGUGUCUAGAGAUAUAUAUAUAUUUUUUUUUAUUUGUUUGUUUUGAGCCUAUUUGUAAUAUAACUAUUUUAUGCGUUAUAGGGUUCUAGAAUAUAUAAUAAAUACCUUGUUAUUGGUGAGACUUGUUAGGAACUUAAAAAUGUUUGGAACUGAAAAUCUGAUUCUUAUUUAUUGCCUGUUCUUUUCAUGUUAAACUUGGGGCAAAAUGUUGAUAUGGUUUGUAUUGAAGGAUGUAGGAGAAAGAGAAGGAAAGUUUUAUGCUAUAAAUGUUCCCCUGAAGGAUGGAAUAGAUGACACCAGCUUCACCCGGCUUUUUAAAACUAUUAUUUCCAAGGUGGUGGAAACAUAUCUGCCAGGUGUGAUAGUUCUUCAGUGUGGAGCAGAUUCUUUAGCUAGAGACCGCUUGGGCUGUUUCAACCUCUCUAUUGAUGGUGCAUAUCUACUCGUAAUUGAAGCACACUCUUUUUCUUCCCUUCCAGGAGUUGUCCAACCAUGCAGCAAUUUUUACUUGUCCUUUGUUCUUCUGUUGAUGAUACUGAGUUUGAUCUAGAUUAUAUAGCCUAGUUUCAAGAGUGAAGUUUUGUUGUGUUGCUAUUGUGAUAUUUCUUGCAGGGCAUGCUGAAUGUGUUAGGUUUGUGAAGAAAUUCAAUUUGCCUUUGCUGGUUACUGGAGGUGGUGGAUACACAAAAGAGAAUGUUGCUCGAUGUUGGACUGUUGAAACAGGAGUUCUUUUAGAUACAGAACUACCCAAGGAGAUCCCAGAUAACGAGUAUAUCAAAUAUUUUGCCCCUGAGUAUUCAUUGAAGAUUCCAGGUGGACAAAUAGAGAAUUUAAAUAGCAAAUCUUACAUUAGCACGAUCAAAAUGCAAGUUCUGGAAAAUCUUCGUUGCAUACAACAUGCUCCAGGUGUACAAAUGCAGGAGGUUCCACCCGACUUUUACAUUCCUGAUUUUGAUGAAGAUGAGCAAAACCCGGAUGAACGCAUGGAUCGUAAGUGAUUUUCAAAACUAUCCAAAGAUGACCAUACCAUGAUAUUUCAUAUUGUUGCCGCACACUUGCACACUUUUUGAGCCCUUGAAUUUUCCUCAAAUUUCUCAUUACCAAGUGACCAUAAAUUGUCGUUUCAGAGCAUACUCAAGACAAGCAUAUCCAGCGAGACGAUGAAUAUUAUGGAGGGGACAAUGACAAUGAUCAUAACAUGGAUGGUCCGUGAAGUGAACCCUUUUUUAUUUUUUGCCUUUAAUAGGAGUAGCAUUUAACAUGCAAAGUGUAACUAGAUUCUAAUUUACUGCCACACCUGAUAUACUUGUUGUGUCCUUAUUUCUUUCAAAUUACAUUCAAUUGUUUUCAUUGGCAUCGUAUCAUCUACCUGGUGUAGAUUUGCGUAAAAAGCCAUGAAUUUAAAAGAAGUAAAAAGAUGGUCUUGUUUGUGAAAUAUAAGAUUAAAGGUAUCUUAUAUAGAGAAUCAACAACCAUUUUCUCAUACAGUCAUGUUGCACAUUUGCUCAUCCCCCAUCACAAUGGUAGCCGCACAGCACUGUUGCAGUUGGUGAAGAUACAAGGGAAAAGAAAGAAACUUUUGAGAGCCUGGCUGGGCAUUUGACAUUGUCGUAUGAUGUUGGGGUUUGCAUUUCUAUUUUUUGAGUUACUGAUUCAAUGGUUGUGCAUAGCUACUUUGGGAGAUUAUGUAGAGCAUAUGCUCCCUCUCUCAAUCACUUUGAUUGGGUGAGGCAAGUCCUCAACCACUUUGAUUAGGAUAACAACUUUUUCUUUCUUCGGAUGAAAAAGCUUGAAUGUCACAGGAAGUGCAUACCCAAUUUGUAUUCUGUGAUCUGAGAUUGCUGAGAAAGCUGUGAAGCUUGCUGAGAGGCGAAUAUCUAGAGACAAGUGGCCAGCAUAUUAUGAUACUAAGAAAGCAAGUUUUAUUGGAAAACAGGCUCCUCGGCUAUUUUACACCUGGUAAAUUGCAGGUUAUGUUGUUGCAAAGCUCCUUCUCGACAAUCCAAGUGCAGCAAAGAUCCUUGUAAAUAAAGAGGAUUCAAAGCUUCUGAAUACGUUGUAGAUGAAGUAGCUGCACCUCCCUUUGAGAAGUGAACAGCAUUGGUGCUAGAAACAUGAAUUGGUUAAUCAACUAUAUGAAAUGCCAAUGUUUCGUUUAUAUGAUCUGUUUCAUUUUCUGUUCUCAACUAUGAAAUAGUAUGGUUCUAAAUAUAAAAUACAGAUCAAUAACAUGGAUAUCACACAUGCUUAUUGCUACCUCAAAUUUAUCAGACAAAACAAUAAUCAAUUCCAAUAUCAAGAUAAUAAUUCAAGGUAACAAGGGAUGGCAAAAGCUCUAUAAUGAGGCAGUUGAUCAUCGAGCAUGAUCAUAACAGAUUACAUGUAAGUUCUUCAUUACAUUAAUACAAGGAUUGGAAGAAAAGCAAAAGGUAGGCUUAACCUGAAUUCAACCAGGAUUUAUGAACUUAUAAUGUCACUGUUUGCCGCCAAGAUGCUGUCCAAUAAUGAUUCACAAGCAUCUUCAAGUAGAUCCAAUACCUGUGAUAAUGAUAAAGCAUAACGCAAGGGAACGAAAACUGAAAUUUUUGUUAAUCUUUAAUCUCUUAAAUAAGUUAUCAAAUUAAAGCACAGAAACCUGGAAGGGUUGUGGUAACCCAAAGCCAUCUUGCAUUUGAGGACUAAUAGGCAGAGGCAGUAUAUCUAAAUGAACACUCUCUGAAGGGAUCUAAUGGAACUUCUAAAUUCUUAAGGAGACGCGACAUUUUAUUUGAAACAGUGAAGAAUAUAAAUUAAAGAAUGAACUGAUGCAAUCAAUGUACAGGAUGAAAUUCCAUUUAAACAAUGUCGAGCAAUGUGGGUGCUGGUAAAACCAUGAAGCAUCAUUUUAAAGCUUUUUACAAAUGAUGUACCUUUCACUGCAUGCAACUCGUGGAAUCUAAGGAUCCAUAAAGAAAAAUCCAGGUGAAAGGUUAUCCAUGUAAACUUCUACCAUUUUCACUUGAAAUAUUAACAUCUUACCUUCUCAAAACCCUGCGGUCCACCAUAGUAAGGAUCUGGGACUUCAGUCUCAUCAUGUUUCUUGCAGUAGGAGCACAUUAAUUUAACCUUCUCGUGUGCAUCAUCAGGUAGUGUCUCUUUAAAUUUCCACAUAUUAAAAGCCUCCAUUAUAUCCUCUCUGUUUUGCUUGUCCAUUGCAAGAAUGAUAUCGAAAUCCCUAAAAUCAGAGGGUCGUAUUGGCCUCGAUAUGGAUGUUAUCUGAAUCCCGCGCCUUUUAGAGGCUGCCCUCAUUCUUGGGUCUGCUGGAUUACCCUCGUGAUAACCAAUGGUGCCAGCAGAGUCAAUCUUGAACUUGGAGUCAAGGCCUCUCUUCUUGACAAUUUCUGUGAAAACACCCUCAGCAGCUGGGCUUCUACAAAUGUUACCUAAGCACACAAACAGAACAGAGAAGGGUUUGGUCUCUGAGUCGGUGGAGGAAGCCAUUGAUGAAGCUUUGAUCACCCAGGACCUCGAGGAAGUGACUCUGAUCGUGGUUAAUUUUUUGUGAUGAUGGGAAUUAAGAAAGCAGUUUUGGACAAGUGGGUAGCUAAUAAAUGGGAUUUUCAGAGAGAGGAGACCGAGUCUGGUGGUGAAGUGGCAAAGUUGUAAAUUUGGAGAUGGGGUUGGCAACCUUGUAUAAGCACCAUGCAAGGAUGAUGAUGAUGCUGCUCUCAUCAUCCCUUCUGUCAGGGUGGAGGUUUGGGGUUUUGGUUUGUGUUGUCGGAUUUGUCUAAAACUGGAAGUACAGCAUUCUUUCUGGGGGAACUUAACUGGUAACAGAAUGGAUAGGGUGGCAUGUGAGUCGGGUGCAAUUGAAAUCCCCACCCUCCGUUUUAUAUCAUCAAUUUUCACAUCAUAAAAUUAAGAGUUUAACCAAUGAAAGCUUAGAAGAGCUCUAUGAUACAUGUAAAGUCUGUUGUGUUUAAAAAAUAAAAAAAAGAGAGAGUGAUAGAAGCCUGCCCAGUGAGAAUGGGAUAAAAACCACCAAGGAGAAAAGAUGCUUAGUUCCAGGUCAGAGAGAGUGUUAAUUUUCCCUGUUAAGGUAUACUGCCGCCAAUUUUCAGAAUUACAU